rnacentral:lncRNA from 1 species
GUGUGCCAGGCAGCAAGCGCCAUUAGCCCGGGAGGUGGUGAACAGCUCCUGGGGGCACCAGCCAGCACCGUCACCGUUUGGCAGCGGAGGCUGCGGCCAGCUCCUUGUCAGGUGAAUGUGCUGCAUGUUGAUGCAACACCUUCCUCUUCUUGCCAACCCUGGGCCAAUGUCCUCAGACACAGGCAGCAACGGAAGUGGCCACCUGCCCACCAUGGCCUGGGGAGAAGGGGGAAGGGUCUGACUGGGGGAGCCUCAAGACUGUGCCACUUGCCCCAAUCCCAUGAGAGGCACCUGCUAUGGCACCUCGAGCUGGGGCAGAAGGCCUGGAGCCCGUGCCUGGAUGCUGCCCAGGACUCUCAAGCUAGUCCAGUGGCCUUGGCUGCAAAGUCCUGCUCAGGCCCACGUUUCCCCAGUGCCUUGCCCAGCUCCAGAGGGAAGUGAUUGACCGCAGAGCCGAUGAGCUCAGAGCCGGUGGUGGGCAGUCUGGCCGGAUGGCGGUGACUCAGGGAAGCGGAGGGGCUCCCCCCACCCCGCUGCUGCUGCCCCCCGCGUCCCCCCCGCCUGCAGUAACUGACAGGAAGGGGCGGGAGGCGGAUGGGCCGUGACAGCUUAAUGGCUUCGGUUAAAGCAUCCUCUGAUCGUGCUGGCGCUGGGAGAGGCUCUGAGCUCGGGUGGCACUGCGGGCACUCUGGACACUGUCUCCGGCUGCCGCUGAGCUGGGAGGCUCCUUUCCAGCAGGCCACGCGGUCAGGGGCACCUCCUGCCGCAGCACCUGCCCAGCCCUCUGGGGACCAGAGUGAGCAAAGUGCUGGUGCUGGACCUGGCCACCGCCAGAGGCAAACACAGUUGGCCAGACCCAGGCCCCACCUGUUCACGAGAUGCCCCAUCCCUUGGAGCCUCCAGGAGCCAGGGCAAGUGUGGAGGCAGGUGAGACCCAGCGCCAGCGUUUGCUUCAACCAAAGAACCACAGCAGAGCCGCUGGGGACAGCUUGUUCAGCCAGUGCAUAAUCAGUACUCAGGAUUGUGGCUGGUGCCCCUGGCAGACUCAGCCCUACGGGGAUCGGCCCCCA